GGAUGUAGCCCAGUGGUAAGGCACUUACCUAGCAUGAGGCCCUGGGUUCGAUCCCCAGCACCA
rnacentral:tRNA from 1 species